UACGUAGGGGGCAAGCGUUGUCCGGAAUCAUUGGGCGUAAAGCGCGCGUAGGCGGCCCGGUCAGUCCGUUGUGAAAGUCAAAGGCUCAACCUUUGAAUGCCGACGGAUACUGCCGGGCUAGAGUCCGGAAGAGGCGAGUGGAAUUCCUGGUGUAGCGGUGAAAUGCGCAGAUAUCAGGAGGAACACCGGUGGCGAAGGCGGAUCUCUGGGCCGAUACUGACGCUGAGGAGCGAAAGCGUGGGGAGCGAACAGG
rnacentral:rRNA from 1 species